GGAAGGCGGGGAUGACGUCAAAUCAUCAUGCCCCUUAUGACCUGGGCUACACACGUACUACAAUGGCCGGUACAACGGGAAGCGAAGCCGCGAGGCGGAGCCAAUCCUUACAAGCCGGUCUCAGUUCGGAUUGCAGGCUGCAACUCGCCUGCAUGAAGUCGGAAUUGCUAGUAAUCGCGGAUCAGCAUGCCGCGGUGAAUACGUUCCCGGGUCUUGUACACACCGCCCGUCACACCACGAGAGUUUACAACACCCGAAGUCGGUGGGGUAACCGCAAGGAGCCAGCCGCCGAAGGUGGGGUAGAUGAUUGGGGUGAAGUCGUAACAAGGUAGCCGUAUCGGAAGGUGCGGCUGGAUCACCUCCUUU
rnacentral:rRNA from 1 species